UACGUAGGGUGCGAGCGUUAAUCGGAAUACUGGCGUAAAGCGAGCGCAGACGGUUACUUAAGCAGGAUGUGAAAUCCCCCGGGCUCAACCUGGGAACUGCGUUCUGAACUGGGUAGCUAGAGUAUGUCAGAGGGGGGGUAGAAUUCCACGUGUAGCAGUGAAAUGCGUAGAGAUGUGGAGGAAUACCGAUGGCGAAGGCAGCCCCCCUGGGAUAAUACUGACGUUCAUGCUCGAAAGCGUGGGUAGCAAACAGGAUUAGAUACCCCGGUAGUCC
rnacentral:rRNA from 1 species